GGGCCAUAGAUCUGUGGUAGAGCAUCUGCCUUGAAUGCAGAACAUCCCAGAUUCAAUCCCUGGCAUCUCCA